GGCUCAGGAUGAACGCUGGCGGCGUGCCUAAUACAUGCAAGUCGAACGGAGGUCCGCAAGGAUCUUAGUGGCGAACGGGUGAGUAACGCGUUGGUAACCUGCCCCGGAGAGAGGGAUAACAGGCCGAAAGGCUUGCUAAUACCGCAUGCGCAGUAGAGGAAUAGCAGCUUUACUGCAAACGGAGAUGUUCGUAAGAACGCAUCCGGCUCUGGGAGGGGCCUGCGACCCAUCAGCUAGUUGGUAAGGUAACGGCCUACCAAGGCGAUGACGGGUAGGGGACCUGAGAGGGUGGCCCCCCACAAUGGAACUGAAACACGGUCCAUACACCUACGGGUGGCAGCAGUAGGGAAUAUUGCAUAAUGGGCGAAAGCCUGAUGCAGCAACGCCGCGUGUGCGAUGAAGGCCUUCGGGUUGUAAAGCACUUUUGAUCGGGAAGAGGAAGGACGGUACCGGUCGAAUAAGCCUCGGCUAACUACGUGCCAGCAGCCGCGGUAAAACGUAGGAGGCGAGCGUUAUCCGGAUUUACUGGGUGUAAAGCGCGUGCAGGCGGUCUACUAAGUUGGAUGUGAAAGCUCCUGGCUCAACUAGGAGAGGUCGUACAAGACUGGUAGACUGGAGAGCAGUAGGGGAAGGUGGAAUUCCGGGUGUAGUGGUGAAAUGCGUAGAUAUUCGGAGGAACACCAGUGGCGAAAGCGGCCUUCUGGACUGCAUCUGACGCUCAGACGCGAAAGCUAGGGGAGCAAACGGGAUUAGAGACCCCGGUAGUCCUAGCUGUAAACGAUGUGAACUUGGCGCUGGAUGGGUAAAACCGAUCAGUGCCGGAGCAAACGCGAUAAGUUCACCACCUGAGGACUACGGCCCGCAGGGUUAAAC
rnacentral:rRNA from 1 species